GGGAUUGUGGCUCAUCUGUAGAGCACUCGCCUAGCACGUGUGAGGCUCUGGGUUCAAUCCUCAGCACCA
rnacentral:tRNA from 1 species